ACACCUCAACUCCUCAUGGUUUUUCUAUGAUGAGCUUGGACUUUGGGGGUUUGCUGGCCCGUUCGGUCAGCUCCUCUCAAAUGAAUCAGCUUUCCAGUGUUUGGUGGCACCACAGGUGUGAUAACAAUCUACACUUGAGGUUUUCUGCCAGGUAACCUUCAGUAAUGGGGGGGGUUCACUGGGGCUCACAAAUGUCUUUCUUCAGUGAGGACAGCUCUUUGAAU
rnacentral:misc_RNA from 1 species